UGCAUUUGUGUAUGUUUUUUGUUUCACUUGUAGACAAAGACUGGCACAGAGGUACAAAAAAUAAAUUCCCUUUUGUAACCCAGAACUCAUUAAUCCAUAUGAGUUUUGAUGCAUACAAGCAGGAAUAGG